rnacentral:rRNA from 1 species
AGUGAACGCUGGCGGUAGGUCUAACACAUGCAAGUCGAACGGCAGCACAGUAAGAGCUUGCUCUUACGGGUGGCGAGUGGCGGACGGGUGAGGAAUACGUCGGAAUCUACUUUUUCGUGGGGGAUAACGUAGGGAAACUUACGCUAAUACCGCAUACGACCUACGGGUGAAAGCAGGGGAUCUUCGGACCUUGCGCGAUUGAAUGAGCCGAUGUCGGAUUAGCUAGUUGGCGGGGUAAAGGCCCACCAAGGCGACGAUCCGUAGCUGGUCUGAGAGGAUGAUCAGCCACACUGGAACUGAGACACGGUCCAGACUCCUACGGGAGGCAGCAGUGGGGAAUAUUGGACAAUGGGCGCAAGCCUGAUCCAGCCAUACCGCGUGGGUGAAGAAGGCCUUCGGGUUGUAAAGCCCUUUUGUUGGGAAAGAAAAGCAGCAGGUUAAUACCCCGCUGUUCUGACGGUACCCAAAGAAUAAGCACCGGCUAACUUCGUG